rnacentral:lncRNA from 1 species
AUGGUGGUGAGCCCGGCGCGGCCCCGCCCGACCCCAGAGCCAGGCACCCCGGCCUCGACCUUUGGGCCGGUCGGGCCACUGCGGGCCACCCAGCCUCACCUGGCCCUCGUGGAGGCGCUUGCCCGGGCUGGUCUCCUCGGGGUGGUAGAACCACUUGACACGGACCACCAUGUUGCUGCCCCAGGACUCCCACAUGCUCUGGAUGCGGCCGAUGUAGGGCAGGUUGGGGCGGCCGGCCGACAGGAACACGGCGCAGUCCCCGAUGCGGAUCAUCUCCUUGCCGCGCACGAUGGCCUUGUAGAAGAGCUUGCGGGCCUUGCCCUUCAUGCCGCGGCGCUGCGGGACACGGUGCGUCACAGGGCCGCCCGCAGCCCGAUCCCCGAGCUCUGGGGGUCUGCAGGGGCGGCUGGGGAGGAGCGGACCCCCUGCUGGCUCCAGCUGGGGAGCCUUCUUCAUCUCUUUGCACACUGGGUGUCCAACGGGGGCUUCCCGGACACAAGGACCCGCACUAAGGGGGACUUCCGUUCCCUGUCCCCGAGCGGCGCUGGCACAGGACGCCUGGGAGGGCCCGCAGACCCCACACCUGCUGUCUGCGAGGCUCGCACGGCUGGGCCCUGCAGUCCCCUACUGAACCCCAACUUCCCGGUAGGGACAGCAAGGUCCAGUGGGGGGACAGGGCAGGCUCCCAGCUUCGCCUCUGGACGGAGCACAGGGCUCCACCCCCACGGCUGUCACACAGCCCUUCAACAUCCCCUGGGGCCACAGGUCACCGGCUGUGCGGCCUGGUUCUUACACCUGAGCAUGGGACUGGGAGUCAGCUGCCACAUGGCCUCAUCAGGGGUGAGGGAGUGGGGAGCAUGGGCCGAGGGCUGUCCCUGGGACCAUGUCAACCCCCGGGGGAAGCCCCUGACUAAGGUCAGCCCGGGGCCCGCGGGAUCCAGCACGAGGAGCACAUCUCCCGGGCCCAUGGCGUGCUGGGUUUUUCUUAGUCACUCAACAAACAUUUCCUGGCCUGGCACGGGACAGACACGGAGGUCCGAGGAGGGAACACACCAAAACCCACCACAGCCCUAG